UGGGGAAUAUUGCACAAUGGAGGAAACUCUGAUGCAGCGACGCCGCGUGAGUGAAGAAGGUCUUCGGAUCGUAAAACUCUGUCCUUGGUGACGAAAAAAAUGACGGUAGCCAAGGAGGAAGCCCCGGCUAACUACGUGCCAGCAGCCGCGGUAAUACGUAGGGGGCGAGCGUUGUCCGGAUUUACUGGGCGUAAAGGGUGAGUAGGCGGUAAUAUGUGUCAGAUGUAAAAGGCUAUGGCUUAACCAUAGUUAGCAUUUGAAACUGUAUUACUUGAUUGCAGGAGAGGUAAGUGGAAUUCCUAGUGUAGCGGUGAAAUGCGUAGAUAUUAGGAGGAACACCAGUGGCGAAGGCGACUUACUGGACUGUAACUGACGCUGAGUCACGAAAGCGUGGGUAGCAAACA
rnacentral:rRNA from 1 species